UGAUGCGGACAAGCAUGCGGAAGAAGAAGAUUUGAAAAGUAAAGUUGUACUGCUUUUACGGAUAGUGCUACAAAUAACGGUUCGCUUUUUAAUCAGUUUCCCUCCCAGCCCCCCAAAGGAAUUAAACUAUUAUUUGGCUUAAUUCAACGGAUUGUCAUCAUCAAGACGUCAAAGUUAAAAGUUAUGGACGACGGAGAAUCCUUGGUUUCAAUGAAUGGCACGCAUGUAAGCUUCAUUGGAAACGACUGUGAGAACAUUCCUGACUUCCUGGGUGACACUUAUGGACAGAUGGCUAAAAGGCUGGACCUCAGCUUCAAUCUGCUCAGCAGCCACCAUUCCCACUGCGUCAUUGGUCAGCGGGAAAGAGUUACGGACCAAAGCAUCCUUUCCUAUCCCUAUAUACUAGCCCCUCCAAUUCCCUCAUCUCUCCCUGAUUUCGUAAAAAAAAGUUUACUAUUUUAUUUAAUAUCAUAUCAAUAUUAUUUUGUGCAAAGCAUGAAGUAAUACGUCGAAUAAAACACGGAGAUGACCCUCAAGCAUCAACGGCGAGUUCUGAACGUUUUUUCCUUUGUUUUUCUUUUUCAACAUAUGAGGAGUUACACAUGACAUCCAUC